AGUGAACGCUGGCGGUAGGCCUACCCCUUGCAAUUGGAACGCAGCACCGGAAAGACUUGGCCUUUCGGGUGGGGGGGGGCCGGAGGGGGAGGGAUAACACCGGAACCACUUUUUUGGGGGGGAUUACGGAGGGGAAACUAACCCAAUUACCCCUAAGAACUAAGGGGUGAAACACGGGGACUUUGGGCCUUUCCGCGUUUAAUUGGCCGGAUGUCGGAUUAGCUAGUUGGCGGGGUAAAGGCCCACCAAGGCGACGAUCCGUAGCUGGUCUGAGAGGAUGAUCAGCCACACUGGAACUGAGACACGGUCCAGACUCCUACGGGAGGCAGCAGUGGGGAAUAUUGGACAAUGGGCGCAAGCCUGAUCCAGCCAUACCGCGUGGGUGAAGAAGGCCUUCGGGUUGUAAAGCCCUUUUGUUGGGAAAGAAAAGCAGCAGGUUAAUACCCCGCUGUUCUGACGGUACCCAAAGAAUAAGCACCGGCUAACUUCGUG
rnacentral:rRNA from 1 species